GAUGAACGCUGGCGGCGUGCCUAAUACAUGCAAGUCGAGCGAACAGACGAGGAGCUUGCUCCUCUGACGUUAGCGGCGGACGGGUGAGUAACACGUGGAUAACCUACCUAUUAGACUGGGAUAACUUCGGGAAACCGGAGCUAAUACCGGAUAAUAUAUUGAACCGCAUGGUUCAAUAGUGAAAGACGGUUUUGCUGUCACUUUUAGAUGGAUCCGCGCCGCAUUAGCUAGUUGGUAAGGUAACGGCUUACCAAGGCAACGAUGCGUAGCCGACCUGAGAGGGUGAUCGGCCACACUGGAACUGAGACACGGUCCAGACUCCUACGGGAGGCAGCCGUAGGGAAUCUUCCGCAAUGGGCGAAAGCCUGACGGAGCAACGCCGCGUGAGUGAUGAAGGUCUUCGGAUCGUAAAGCUCUGUUAUUAGGGAAGAACAAAUGUGUAAGUAACUAUGCACGUCUUGACGGUACCUAAUCAGAAAGCCACGGCUAACUUCGUG
rnacentral:rRNA from 1 species